UCAUUUCUGGGAAGAAACCCUGACAGAAAUUCAGAGGAACGGGAGCUGCAUUCCGUUAGGACAUGAAUACAUGAAAUGCUCCUCUCAGGACGUUCUAGAAGAAUGAGCUGGGACCCACUUUCCGAGUCCUGCUGGAACCAGAGACCGAGAUCACAUGCUGUGAUGGACAUCCCCUCCUGAAAACCUGUCAAAGUGGACCAGAGAAAGCUGCUUGCCUGUGACUGCCACUUCAUGGUCACAUCUUUUCCUUCUGAAACCCCUUGAACACCCUAUCAUUCUUCCAGUCUUUGAAUAUGUCUUUGAUUUGGAAAUAUUUCAUUCUCUUGUAUUCCUGCUAAAAAUAUGCAUGAAAAUAUUAAAGGAAGUAUUCUUUACAAUAAGUGAGCCAGUCAGAAUGAUCCAUCUGUCUGUGCGUACAUGUUUUUUUUUUGUUUUUUUGACAAUGAUCAGGCAUGAUAUGAAGUACAUCCUGUAAAAUCUGAGUAUCACUCAUCAUCUAGGAUAACCACCUUUAUGGAAAGCCAUUCAAUGACAUGCUUGUUCAAGAUCAGAAAAAACAAUUUACAUACCAUGUAAUACAGUGGUAUAUACAUACAUUAUCUUAAAAUAUGUGAAGUAGAUGUUUCUAUGAAGUGUAUAUCAUGCAUUCAGUUUUCUGUACCAUGAAUGAUAUUAUUUAAAUUACACAAUAGUAAGAACAAGAAUAGGUACAUGGCCAUCGCUAGUAGCUAAUACUAGAACUAGUCAUAUAUUAUGUGUUGAAAACAUAAAACCAUGAUUACUAAUAAUCUGUUCAUUCGUGAUGGGUUUCUAGUUACCAGAAACAUUGGGAAGAUAUUAUUGAGUCUCCACAUAGAUCAGACUGUUUUCUGACUCUUGAUGUCAUAUGAGUUGAUACAUGAUCACAAUCAGUAUCCCGAAGAGAUAGGGUAGUAUUAACUAAAGUUUAUAUUUGUAUUCAGAUUGCUUCGGUUUGAACCUCUUCUGUCCCAGACUCAUCCCAGCUGGCACAUUACAGUCAUCCUGUCUCUUUAGGCUCCACUUGGCCAUGACGAUGUUUAGAUUUUUCCAUAUUUUUCAUAAUCUGCAAAGUUUUGAGGGUACAUCUGUAGAAUGUAUUUUGUAGAAUGAUCCCUGGUUGGGAUAUGUCUACCGUUUGUUCAAAUGCUUAGGCCAGAGUUACCGUGUUUUGGAGCAGAAGAUCCAGAGGCAUAAUGCCAUCCAUAAUUAUCACUUCACAUAAAGGUUGUUUACUCUGAAGAUUGGGGUCUUUAUGGUUCCGUACAAAUUUUAGGACUGUUCUAGUUCCAUGAAAAAUGUUGUUGCUAUUUUGAUGGCCAUUGCAUUAAUUGUGUCAGUUGCUUUGGGAAGUGUAGACAUUUUCAUGAAAUUUGUACUUCUGAUCCAUGAGUAUGGAAUAUCCUUCAUUUCUUUCAUCACUGUUUUACAGUUUUCAGAGUAUAGGUCGCUCACCACUGUGGUUAGAUUUAUUCAUAGAUACCUUAUUAUUUGGUGUACAACUGUAAAUGGGACUGUUUUCUUAAUUUUCUACUGCUUCAUUGUUGUUUAGAAAUGCAACAGAUUUCUGUACAAUGAUUUUGUAUCCUGUGACAUUGCUGAAUUCAUUUAUCAGUUCUAGCAGUUAUUGGACUGUGAGAUCAUGACCUGAGCCGAAGUCGGACGUUCAACCGACUGAGCCACCCAGGCGCCCCCAUCUUACUUUUAGUAGGCACUUUUCUUUGUUCAUCGAAUUCUUCCAGGUAAUGUGCUUUCUCCUUCAGCUGUUUGACUUUUGCUUCCUUUGUAGCUUUCACAGACCUCAAUGCAUUACGCUUGUCUUUCAGGGCCUUUUUAUUUUCUGGAAAAAGAAAAAGGUGUUUUCUUGAUAAAUGUGCAGAUGACCUGAGUCUUGAUUUUGGUGAGCCAGAAAAAGGCAAGAACCAUGAAGGCAUGAAAGUAUUCUUUCCCUUACCAAUGCAAAGUCAUUGCCAUCAUAUGGGGAUUUCUCCCCAACAGAAAAUAUAACUUCUAGUUGACAGUUAUUGGACCUCAAGGGUCUUAGCUCUACAUCCUCGAAUUCAACAUUUGCAUCUUGUGGGUAAGGCAGAUAUGAGGAAAGACUUUCACGGAAAACUGAUGACACAACAAUUUGUACCUCACACAGCAAGAUCGUGCAUUGCAAUGAACAAAGACCUUGAGGCAUGAAUAUAACUAGAAGACAAAGAUGGUGGAAAAUAGUUCAUGUCUAACAACUCAUAAAUGGCUUUCUUAGUGGUAUACAUAUGUAUGUGUGCAUGUUUAUCCCCCCAUUCACAUUGAAAACUCACUAUUCAGCCUUCAGCGAGAAAGAGAUUAUGGAGCACCUGGGUGGCUCAGUCAUUUGAGCGUCAGACUCGAUUUUGGGUCAGGUCAUGAUUGUAGGAUCAUGUGAUCCAGACCUGUAUUGGGCUCCACACUGAGCGUGAAUCCUGCUUAAGAGUCUCUCUCUUUUCCUCUGCCCCUCUCCCCUGCUUGCAUGCCCCCCUCACUAAAAUUAAAAAAAAAAUCAUGAAGAAUAAUUUAAACAUAUUUUUUUAAAAGGGAAAGGAUUGUACACUUUGGCUAUCACCCUUUAUCUCUCAACUAUAUUUGCGUAUUUUCUACAUAUCUUGGAGGGCAGAGUUGAAUGAUGUGAUAAUUACAUAGUUGUGAAAAUAAAAGAUAACUCGUAGUCCCUGAAAUAACAAAACUCAUUUUGGCAGUCCCAGUAAAAUUCCAACUCAUUGGUCAGAAAGAGGUUUGGCUCCCAGAGGCCCACUCUCUACUGUGGUAAAGGGCAAGCAAAUAUGCUGUGCUCACUUCACCCAAUGAACAAAAAGCCUCCCAAGCCAAAUUACGGUAAAACUCAGCAGCCAACCCUUACCACUUCCUGAUUCUUCACAUUUCUUUGAGUUUGCAAGGUAGCAAGUGCACUUUGAAGGGUAUCAUUUAAAAUUUCAUUCAAGUGGGUGCCUGGGGGCUCAGUCAGUUGAGCAUCCAACUUCAGCUCAGGUGGUCAAUUCAUGGUUUGUGAGUUUGAGCCCUGUGUCAGACUCUGUGCUGACAGCUCAGAGCCUGAGGCCUGUGUUGGAUUCUGUGUCUCCCUCUCUCUCUGCCCCUCCUCCACUCACGCUCUGUCUAAAAUAAACAUAAAUAAUUUUAUGUUUCCUUGUACUCAACAAGUACAAAAAGAGAUCAUACCAUGCAUAUUUUCAGACCCCAAUGCUAUGAAACUCACAAUCAACCACAAGAAAAAAUUGGGAAAGAUAACCAAUACUUGUAGACUAAAGAACAUCCCACUAAAAAUUGAAUGGAGGAAUUCAAGCUGGUGCAGCCACUCUGGAAAACAGUAUGGAGGCUCCUCAAAAAGCUAAAAAGAGAACUACCCUAUGACACAGCAAUUGCAAUACUAGGUAUUUAUCCGAGGGAUACAGGUGUGCUGUUUAGAAGGGACACAUGCACCCCCAUGAUUAUAGCAUCACUAUCAACAACAGCCAGUUGGAAUCUCAUUGGUCACAAAGAGGUUUGGCUCCCAGAGGCCCCCUCUCUACUGUGGUAAAGGGCAAGCAAAUAUGCUGUGCUCACUUCACCCAAUGAACAAAAAGCCUCCAAAGCCAAAUUAUGGUAAAACUCAAUAUGGAAGAAGCCCAAAUGUCCACUGAUGGAUGAAUGGAUAAAGAAGAUGUGGUGUGUGUGUGUGUAUGUGUGUAUAAUGGAGUAUUACUCAGCAAUCAAAAAGAAUGAAAUCUUGCCAUUUGCAACUACAUGGAUUGAAAUGGAGGGUAUUAUGCUAAGUGAAAUUAGUAGUGAGAGAAAGACAAAAAUCAUAUGACUUCACUCAUAGGAGGACUUUAAGAGACAAAACAGGUGAACAUAAUGGAAGGGAAACAAAAAUAAUAUAAAAACAGGGAGGGGUACAAAACAGAAGCGUACACAUAAAUAUGGAGAACAAACAGAGGGUUACUGGAGGGUUUGGGGGGGGUGGGCUAAAUGGGUAAGGGGCACUAAGGAAUCUACUCAAGAAAUAACUAUUGCACUAUAUGGUAACUAAUUUGGAUGUUAAUUGUAAAUAAUAAAAACUAUAAUUAAAAAAAAUUAAUGGGUGAAAGAAGUUAAAGAGAAAAUUAAAAAGUACAUGGAAACCAGUGAAACUGAUAACACCACAGCCCAAAACCUCUGGGAUGCAGUAAAUGUAGUCAUAAGAGGAAGUUUAUAGCAAUCCAGGCCUUCCUAAAGUGGGAAGAAAGGUCUCAGAUACACAACCUAACCUUAUACAUUAAAGAGAUGGAAAAAAGAUCAACAAAUAAAAACCAAAUCCAGCAGAAGACAAGCAAUGAUAAAGAUUACAGCAAAAAUCAAUGCUAUCGAAGCUGAAAACAAAAACAAACAAUACCCCCCCCCCCCAACAUACAAACAGUAGAA